rnacentral:rRNA from 1 species
UAAGAGGCCCCGCCUGCCCUGUGACUAUAUGUUUAACGGCCGCGGUAUUAUGACCGUGCAAAGGUAGCGCAAUCACUUGUCUUUUAAAUGAGGACCUGUAUGAACGGCGAAACGAGGGCUUAACUGUCUCCUUUUCCAGGUCAAUGAAAUUGAUCCCCCCGUGCAGAAGCGGGGAUAUACACAUAAGACGAGAAGACCCUGUGGAGCUUUAGACACUAGAGCAGCCCCCCAUUAAGUACCCCUUUAAAAGAAACAAUCAUAAAACCCCUGCUCCAAUGUCUUCGGUUGGGGCGACCAUGGAGUAAGAAAAACCCUCCACGUGGAAUGACAGUACUACUCACCAAAAACCAAGGGCUACCGCCCUAAUUAUCAGAACCUCUGACCUUACAGAUCCGGCAAAGCCGAAAAACGGACCAAGUUACCCCAGGGAUAACAGCGCAAUCUCCUUCCAGAGGCCAUAUCGAAAAGGAGGUUUACGACCUCGAUGUUGGAUCAGGACAUCCUAAUGGUGCAGCCGCUAUUAAGGGUUCGUUUGUUCAACG